UACAGAGGGUGCGAGCGUUGUCCGGAAUCACUGGGCGUAAAGGGCGCGUAGGUGGCGACCCAAGUCGAUGGUGAAAGCUCGCCGCUCAACGGCGAGUCGGCCACCGAUACUGGGUUGCUGGAGCACUGUAGAGGCAUAUGGAAUUCCGGGUGUAGCGGUGGAAUGCGUAGAGAUCCGGAAGAACACCGGUGGCGAAGGCGGUCUGCUGGGCAGUAGCUGACACUGAGGCGCGACAGCGUGGGGAGCAAACAGG
rnacentral:rRNA from 1 species